rnacentral:rRNA from 1 species
UACGUAGGGGGCAAGCGUUGUCCGGAAUCAUUGGGCGUAAAGGGCGCGUAGGUGGUUCUGUAUGUCUACCGUGAAAGCGUACGGCUCAACCGUAUUUUGUCGGUGGAAACUGCAGGACUUGAGGCUGGGAGGGGCUGGUGGAAUUCCCUGUGUAGCGGUGAAAUGCGUAGAGAUGGGGGAGAACACUCGUGGCGAAGGCGGCCAGCUAGACCAGUUCUGACACUGAGGCGCGACAGCGUAGGGAGCAAACAGG